AUUGAACGCUGGCGGCAUGCCUUACACAUGCAAGUCGAACGGUAACAGGUCUUCGGAUGCUGACGAGUGGCGAACGGGUGAGUAAUACAUCGGAACGUGCCUAGUAGAGUGGGAUAACUACUCGAAAGAGUGGCUAAUACCGCAUGAGAUCUACGGAUGAAAGCAGGGGAUCGCAAGACCUUGUGCUACUAGAGCGGCCGAUGGCAGAUUAGGUAGUUGGUGGGAUAGAAGCUUACAAAGCCGACGAUCUGUAGCUGGUCUGAGAGGACGAUCAGACACGCUGGGACUGAGACACGGCCAAGACUCCUACGGGAAGCAGAAGUGGGGAAUUUNNGACAAUGGGCGAGAGCCUGAUCCAGCAAUGCCGCGUGCAGGAUGAAGGCCUUCGGGUUGUAAACUGCUUUUGUACGGAACGAAAAGCCCCGGGUUAAUNCCCUGGGGUCAUGACGGUACCGUAAGGAUAAGCACCGGCUAACUACGUGCCAGCCGCCGCCGUA
rnacentral:rRNA from 1 species